rnacentral:rRNA from 1 species
UACGUAGGUGGCAAGCGUUGUCCGGAUUUACUGGGCGUAAAGAGCGCGCAGGCGGUCGUUCAAGUCGCGUGUGAAAGCCCCCGGCUCAACUGGGGAGGGUCACGCGAUACUGAUCGACUCGAAGGCAGGAGAGGGUAGUGGAAUUCCCGGUGUAGUGGUGAAAUGCGUAGAUAUCGGGAGGAACACCAGUGGCGAAGGCGACUACCUGGCCUGUUCUUGACGCUGAGGCGCGAAAGCUAGGGGAGCAACGGGAUUAAGAAACCGGGUAG